CUCUCUUAAGGAACUCGGCAAAUUAGCCCCGUAACUUCGGGAGAAGGGGUGCCCCCAUUAGGUGUAAUUAUUUACUGAUGAAGCCGAAGGGGGUUGCAGUGAAAGGGCCCAAGCGACUGUUUAGCAAAAACACAGGUCUCUGCGAAGCCGUAAGGCGAUGUAUAGGGGCUGACGCCUGCCCGGUGCUGGAACGUUAAGAGGAGAGCUUAGAUGUUAAAGUCGAAGGUUUGAAUCGAAGCGCCAGUAAACGGCGGCCGUAACUAUAACGGUCCUAAGGUAGCGAAAUUCCUUGUCAGGUAAGUUCUGACCCGCACGAAUGGCGUAACGACUUGGGCACUGUCUCGAGAGGGAUCCCGGCGAAAUUGCAUUAUGAGUGAAGAUGCUCAUUACCCGCAGCUAGACGGAAAGACCCCGUGGAGCUUUACUGUAGCUUGAUGUUGGAUUUUGGCCAGUCCUGUACAGGAUACGAGGGAGGCUUUGAUGGUGAUACGCAAGUAUUGCCGGAGCCGUUGUUGGGAUACCUCGCUGGUCUUGCUGGAAUUCUAACUCGCAUCGUUAGCCGUUGCGAGGACAGCGUCUGGUAGGCAGUUUGACUGGGGCGGUUGCCUCCUAAAGAGUAACGGAGGCGUUCAAAGGUCACCUCAGCCUGGUCGGGAAUCAGGCGAAGAGUGCAAGCGCAUAAGGUGGCUUGACUGCGAGACGUACAUGUCGAGCAGAGUGGAAACACGGAGCUAGUGAUCCGGCGGUGCCGCAUGGAAGGGCCGUCGCUUAUCGGAUAAAAGCUACCCCGGGGAUAACAGGCUUAUCGCGCCCAAGAGCUCAUAUCGACGGCGCGGUUUGGCACCUCGAUGUCGGCUCAUCGCAUCCUGGGGCUGAAGUUGGUCCCAAGGGUUGGGCUUUCGCCCAUUAAAGCGGUACGUGAGCUGGGUUCAGAACGUCGUGAGACAGUUCGGUCCCUAUCUGCUGUGGGCGUUGGAAAAUUGAGGAGCUCUGUCCCUAGUACGAGAGGACCGGGAUGGACGAACCUCUUGCGAACCAGUUGUUCUGCCAAGAGCAAAGCUGGGUAGCUAUGUUCGGAUGGGAUAAACGCUGAAAGCAUCUAAGCGUGAAACCCACCCCAAGAUGAGUUUUCCCGCCACGUAAGUGGCUAAGACCCCUUGUAGACCACAAGGUUGAUAGGUUGGAUGUGUAAGUGCAGCAAUGCAUUGAGCAAACCAGCACUAAUCGGUCGAGCGGCUUCAU
rnacentral:rRNA from 1 species